AGAACACAAUGCAGGAAUCAAUCGAGCUGUCACUCAAUACAGAUGGUGACUCAAUCCCAGAUGUUUCAGAUGAGCUCCAGAUGGUGAAGAAGUACUGUGAUGAACUGAAGGAAAACUCAGUUGAAGAACCACCACUAUAUAUGAGUGCUGAUCCACCUGUCCCAGCAACCCAUUCAUGACGUGUGCAUAGGUUUGCUCAGUGGAGAGAAUCAGCAGAUGCCUGAUCACCCACUGAAGGUCCCUGUGGGCACACCGAUCCCUCAGAGACAUGACACCUCUGGAUUUGAUCUCAACCAUUUUUGUCAAGUUAUUGUAUCUGUAGGAGGAAUAGCCUUCUACACUCCUCCAGAACCUUCUAAGUAAAUGGACAGAGUGAGUGGGCCAUUCUGAGGGUCAAAUGUUUACGCCUCUGCCCCCAGCCUCACCUCAUUCUUGAGGAACUCUUUCACCGUCAUCCUGGCAUCAAGAGUGGUAAAGGUGUGAAUUGGAAACCCUCCAGAUCAUAGCUGCUGACUUUUAAGUUCACCACAUGCUCUCCCCUUUUUGUCAUCUCUAUGGGAACCACACCAGCUAUAUCUAAUUCACAACCUGGUGAAGAGGAGAAACAGAUGUGGGGGUCGUAAAUUCAGUAUGCAUUCCUGAGCAGAAACCAAGUUUCUCUUGUAACCAAAUGGAAAUGUCGCUUGAAAGUAAAACUAUACAUUUUAUCCAUGUUCUAACAUUGUAACUGUGCAUAAUCCUUUUUGUUAGUUGAAUGAUUUUUUUCCACUCUUGUAGGUCAUAGUAUGAGUGAGUUAUAGUUUCAUGUGUUUAAUCCCUCAUUUUACAUGGAGUCAUACUGCCAUCUUGUGACGAUAGUUAAGAAGGGUUCCCGUAAGGAAUCCCAUAUUUUGAGUUGAAAUAUAUUUGGAUUGAUUAAUCAACUUGUCUUUAUUAAUAUGUGCUUUCUCAUUUAGUAUGUUGAUACAAUUGCAGACUAGUUUGUAGUGUUGGUGCACGAAACAUUUAUACUUGUGUUCCGCUGAUAUAUGCUUUAUAAUAAUCAUAUUGAAUUUAAUUUGAUGUUGAGCCGAUUUUGACCAUAAUGGGAAGAGUAUGUGUCUAUCACGCCUAACGUGUUAAAGUGGGUUAGGGUUAGGAUCGAAUUUAUUUUAAACUUUUAAGUUUUAAGUCUGUCCUGAGUUUUCUUUCUUUUUGUCUGUGCCUUCAGUAACAUUAUAACCUGAAGCGACGAAGCCAGCCGAUUGCAACAUUUUUAUAUGCAUUGAUAAUAACUGAUAAUUAUAUCGAUUGUUUUCAACCUUAUUAUAAGCGAGUAGCCACAGCUAAAUAGAUAAGCUACUGCAACUCCAUCAAAGGUUCACCCCAAAAGCUGCCAGAGCUGCAAAAUACCUGAAUUCGCUCUAGCAGCGCCACUGGUGAAAUAUUUGUGGCAGCGAAAACAGCUCAAGUCGCUCGUGACGUCAAAUUCUGAACAUUCCAUUAUGCUUCUUAAUUUAAAUGAGCCGCAAAGCAGGUUACGGGCUGGAGCACAGAAAUGUAACUUUGUGCAUUUGCCUGAGUACAGAAACUUUCACGUUUGGACAAUGAAAACAGAAUAAAGUCUAAAUAGGUCUGACAUUAAACAUUAAACACACACAGCCUGUGUUGCGUUCAGGCGUUGUCACGUAAAUAACAAAUUCCAGUACUUGAAUACACCGUAGCACAACACAGCAGCGUGUCAAGUGGGCCAAACCCGAACUGAAUAUGAGCAUAUUUAAUUUGUUAUUCCCCCCAAAGCUGUAAACCUAGGGGAAACACUGUAAGUGGUUUGGGUUCGAGUGCCUACAGUGCGAUUAGUGAAACUGGUGGUAAGGAGAGCAAAUUAAUUGCACUCCCGCUAAUAACAAGCGUUCCAGAACACAAAGAAAUUGUAUAAGCACGUGCGCUUGUCCACACUUGUGUAUCGAUUCAACAUGGAAGAAGACACUCUUGUAAUUUGUGCUGCUGUGUGGUACCUACGUGGAUGUAGCCGCCGUUGGCUCUGGGUUCACGAUAUCCUGCGGGGCCGUGAACAGCACAGGGAAUAUCAUCGGCUGGUGCGGGAGCUGUGGCUGGAUGGGAAGAGGUUCCAGCGCUACUUCAGGCUGAACAUAGAUCAGUUUGACAGCUUGCUGCUUGUUUUGAAGUAGGAACGAAUGUGUGGUAGGAACUAAAAGCUUCCAAGGAUGUUCUCUGGGUUCCACACAAGUGAUGGACAUCUACAUUCCGACUGGUUGCUGGUCAUUUGCAGUUCAAACGCGUCAUAGCUAAUUUGCAUAAAGUUAACCAGUCUUCAACUUUCAUUUGCAGCUCACUCCGCCAAACCGCCACUGCCCAUCGCUUUUGCAGCUCAAAGCGCAUCUAGUCGUCACGUCCAUUGAAAAUGAAUUAGACAUGUCGCCUUUGCAGCUCUAGCAGCUUUUGGUGUGAACGUACAGUAAGAGAACCAACGUUUGAGCGCCCAACCGCUCCUCCACCACUGUGUUCCAGCCGAUUUCAUUCUGCUGGGAAGUCCGGGAGCUGCAAAGUGACAAUCCGGUGUCCUUAGAGAAACAUCAGCCGGAGCCAACUCUGCUCAAAGUAGCCACUAUCGCCAAACUAAAUAACUGACAAAAGUGUUACCUCUUGUUUUAAUCCAUUUAUACAUACUGUUUAUUUUGUGUUAUUUCAUAUCAUCCUCAUUUACUACUCAUUUACUCAGUUGUUAAACAUUUAGCCCUAAAUAAAUCUUCAUUUCUCGCCAA